rnacentral:rRNA from 1 species
ACCGGCGGCUCGAGUGGUGGUCACUAUUACUGGGCUUAAAGCGUUCGUAGCUGGCUUAUUAAGUCACUGGGGAAAUCUUCCGGCUCAACCCGGAACGGGCUUAGGGAUACUUUCAGGCUAGGGAAGGGAAGAGGUGAGAGGUACUCCGGGGGUAGGGGUGAAAUCCUGUAAUAUCUGGGGGAACACCUGUGGCGAAGGCGUCUCACCAGGACGGUUCCGACAGUGAGGAACGAAAGCUUGGGGAGCAAACCG